CUUGCCAUCAGUCUCACCCCGGUCAUCUAAUCUUGUAUUCUCUCAUUCCUUGCACUCAUUCCUCUUGCCAUGAGAUUUCUGUUCCUGUUUUGUCCCCAUUGUUUGUCACGUCCUGUCCUGUGUCACGGGUGUCUGCACAUAUUUGUGCUGGAGCUGCUCUGCCCUGCUGCAUAAUCUGGUGUGAUAGGACAAGUCCUGGGGGCUUGAAAUUUGUAAUGUGGGGUGCAGUUGGAUUCUAGAUGGGAUUUGUAGAUGGACACAAGGUGUCUGGAGCAGUGAAGUUAUCCUGCAGCCCUUUGACUUUUGCCCUGACUUUCUUUCAGAUGCAGGUGGAUGAAAUCCGUGGCAGAGCACCCCAUCCCGGCUGAGGGGGUUCCUCUGAGCAGGAGGUAAAGCCAGAUAUCAGCAGUCAAGGUAAUCCAUUUGGAGUAUGCCAAGCCCUCCUCUCCAGCCGGCUGAUGGACGGGAUUGCUGCUUUUGUGAGCCCUGUGGAAGUAUUGCAGGACUCUGUGAUGAAGCCCUGAACCUUUCUGUUUAAAGGUGCCAUCGAGCUGGCCUUCGGCAGCCGACGAGGAG